UGCAAAGUACACAUGAUGUGGUAUUGAUUUGGUUCAUCUUACAUUAAUAUAUCAACUUCAGAUGAGCCGAAUCAAUAUCAUUCUUGUUUGCUUCAUU